UUUAAAAAAUUAAAUUUUAUUUCUGUAAUGAAUUAAGUUGGUAUAACUCUGAUAAAUUAAUUUUAUUAUGUGGUUAAUAUUUUAAUAAAAAAAUUAUAUACUUUAAUAAAGAUUUAUACUUUUCAAUGAAAAAAUAAAUUAUAUUAAGAAAAGAAAAAAUAAUAAUUAAGAAUAGUUGAAAAAAAAAUUGAACUUGGACUCAAUGGCCCAAAGGAAAAAAAAUGUGAGAAUUGGAUCUGAUUUCUUAAUCGGCCCAAAUGGUCCAAGAGAGAUCUGAUAUUGGCUGGAUCCGAAAA
rnacentral:lncRNA from 1 species